AUACUCUGAUUUCUCUUCAGAUCGUAUAAAUCUUUCACCUUUUACUAAAGAUUCCAUGGAGAGGAACAUUUAUGAGUUUCAAACUAAUUUACUUUUUCUAGAUCACUCAAAGC